rnacentral:rRNA from 1 species
AACGAACGCUGGCGGCAGGCCUCAUACAUGCAAGUCGAGCGAUUAAAGCUCCUUCGGGAGUGUAUAAAGCGGCGAACGGGUGAGUAACAGGUGGAUGAUCUGCCUCCCGGUGGGGGAUAACGGCUGGAAACGGCCGCUAAUACCGCAUUCGGUUGUUGCGCUGCGGUGCAAUAAAGAAAGGCGCUUUACGGCGUCGCCGGGAGAUGAGUCCGCCCCCCAUUAGCUAGUUGGUGAGAUAAUAGCCCACCAAGGCUUCGAUGGGUAGCCGAGCUGAGAGGUUGAUCGGCCACACUGGAACUGAGACACGGUCCAGACACCUACGGGAGGCUG